rnacentral:lncRNA from 1 species
UGACCACGCUAAGCACAUGGUCAAAUACAAAGCACUUACAUGUGCUCUUUACACUAAGCCAGCACACUAAGAGUACGCUGCGCCAGACGAAUUUUGUCACCAUAAUCAUACAGCCUUUCCCAGACAAAGUUCCAGAGCACGAGCCACAAAGGGCAGAGCCUUUCCGAAACGCUUUGAUGACCUGGCCCGUUCCGGGAAGGUGGGGCUGCUCUGCACAGAGGCGGCAACAGCACCGUUUCUUCGAAUUUCGGUUACUUCAUAUUUCAUCGCGGACACUAUUUGUUUUGGUAAAGAUCCGCUGCUCCGAGAAUUGCAGGGAGAGCUGCUGACGGCCGACUCGACACCAAGCCCGGGCAAGCUUGGGGCAGUAACCGAGCGAGCAGGAAUCGCUUGUUAGAGCGAUGCAGCCGGUGCGUGCCCGCACUCUCCCGAUGGGUGGUGCUGCGGGGACAGCGCUUGGUGGCCCUGCCCGACAAGCCGCCACCUCCCCCCGAGCCCCUUGGCUCCAGCCCCCGGGACCAGAGCGGGAUGAGGGGGUGCUGCUGCUGCUGCUGCUGCUGCUGCUGCUCUCCGAAGGGUUAAAAGCCUUCGAGCCCCAUGCGCAGGAGGCGUCUGGGCAGUGUGGGGGAGAAAUGCAGAAAAACUGCAGGCCACUGAUUGCGGGUGUAGUUCUCUUGGAUGACUCCUUGUGGGAAGAAAUAUCUGGGAAGCCACGGUUUCAAUACAGUGGCGAAGACUAUGGAAGUCAUUGCAAUCAAUUGGCAGAGAGCAGAUCACCAGAACAGCAGAGAAAUUCAUAGUUGUCUGAGUCACACUGGCUGUAGCAGAUUUGCUGUUUCUUCAGUCCCAGUUUCUUUUGUGGAUUGAAACAUCAGAAAAAGGUAAGAAAGCCUGCCAGUGAUACAGAAGACCUGGGCUCACCAUCACGUGUGAUGAUGUAAAAGCCA